GAAAUUCUGAAAUUUUAAUGCACUUGAAUGCUUACUUUCUAAGUAUAGGUGCUGAGAGCAUGGUUUAAGGGGUUGAUAGCAUAUGGGGCCAAGGCAAAAAAUGCUUGAAAUGAAAGAAAUGGGAUGCAUGAUUUGGUUAUAAAUUAAAUUCAAAAUUGAGAUAAAUAUAAUGACCAAAGGCGAAGAGAACUUUCAACGUUUUAGCAAUUGAAUUACUUAGUUCCAGGACACAGAUGACUACAUAAGUUAUAAGGCGAAGGUAAACAUGGAUAUAUUCUUGUCUGAUCCAGCUCACUUAAUGUCUCAACACCCCCGUGACGGCGUCCCUGCUCUGUGAUGCAGUAGAGAAAGACAACUGACCUCAGAGCCAGGAAACUUGGUUGUGGUUCCAGUUCUAGAAACCCUGUGUGGGAACUUGGGGAAGUGACUCAACUUCUAGCUCUGGUUUCUUCCUCUUCAAUGAUGUUAGCAGCAUGAUGAUUUCCAGGCUCUUCACAUUCUAACAGUCUAGAACUCUGUGAAACUUCCUGCUGUCUCAACAAGUUUCCACGCUAGGAGACUUUGGGCUUAUCAUUUAACAUUUCCAUGCUUUCAUAAAUUAGAUGAAUAACCUCCGGACUGCCUGACAUAAUGUUCAUCAUGGAAGUACUUUUCCCCUUUGGAGAUCACUGGAAACAGCUUCUGGACCACAAAUGGGGUGAACUACUGUAUCGAGAAAGGAGAGAGUAAGACUUGAGAGCUAUCUUUUUAGCUCAGGGUGCAGAAGAAGAAAGUGAGGUUCAGAGAGACUAGGACAUUUGCCCAAGGUCGCACAGCUGGUGGAAAGCAGAGAUGGGGUUUGGAUCCAGGCCUCACUGAUUCCAAAGCUCUCUUUUACAUCUGUAUACACGACACUGCAACUUUAAAAUAAAGAGUAUGAAUUCAGAGGUGAAGGAAAUGGACACUUUUAUUUUUUGAGUGCCUCCCAUGUGCAAAAAAAUCACAUAAAUUGUCUCAUUUAGGGCUGGGCGUGG
rnacentral:lncRNA from 1 species